UUUUCAUGCACAAAAGUGUUUCAGAAAAUUAAAGACAAGCGUGAGUGCCAGUUUUCUACUUUCUGGAUGGAGAUCAAAGACAAUGAUCAUAAUAAUGAUAUGAUUUUAGUAGCUGCUCCGGCUUCAGCUUUGAGGAGCUUUCAUUUUCAACAAGAAGUGGAAAUGGGUAUGAUUUGCUUUCCUACCUUAUUAUUUAUUUAGAAUUACAUGCCCUUCUAUUAAAGAUUGGUUUGACAAAUUCGAGUUCCAGCCGUUGAAAUGAAUGGAAUUGAUAAGAACUGCAUAAUAAUUAUAGUCUUUACAUCUUGAUCGAUUGGAAAACAAAAAGGAUUUUAUCUCUUCUCUUAAGGCGGAAGAUACUUGCACUUUCUGGGCUUUGGAUUCUCUGUACUGGGGAGAAUCCUUUAAGCUCAACAUUGUAAUAUUAUUAUUGGAUAUGUGUAAAGAUCAAAUUGCUCAAGCAAUAGAAUUAUUUGAUGGGACGGCGACCAGAGGAUAUCAAGUCUAAUGUUUCUACCUAUUCUGCAAUUGUGAAUGGUCUGUGGAAAAUUGGGAAAACCAACAUUGCUAUUUGAUUGUUGAAGAAAAUGGUAGAGAGAGGAAGUGACAAGCAAUGUCAUCGACUGUAUAACUGUGGACUUAUUGUGUGAUCCUCAAAGUGAAACCCCUAGUGGCAUGGUUAACGUUGGCGGAAACGAUGGUAUCAUUUCUAUCACUGGUUUAGAAUUCUUUGUUUAAUUGUAACUUGUAACAGUUUCUAUGAAAGCCGACUUUUAUUGGUAUAAAUUUAACGAUGACUGUGAAUAGUGUACCUUUA